ACAAUUCAAAUCCCUUAACAAGGAACAAUUGGAGGGCAAGUCUGGUGCCAGCAGCCGCGGUAAUUCCAGCUCCAAUAGCGUAUAUUAAAUUUGCUGCAGUUAAAAAGCUCGUAGUUGGAUGUGUGGUGUGGUGCGUCUGGUCGCCUGCGAGCAAUCGUGGGUGUGUACCGGUGUGCGUGCCUGCCAUUCGGGUUUGUUGUACAUCGAAAGGUGUAUGGUAAGCCCCGUUUACUUUGAGUAAAUUAGAGUGUUCCAAGCAGGCGAUGGUGCCGUGAAUACAUGAGCAUGGAAUAAUGAGAUAGGACUCGGGGUUCUGUUUUGUUGGUUUCCGGUGAUCUGAGUAAUGAUUGAUAGGGACAGUUGGGGGUGCUAGUAUUCAACGGCCAGAGGUGAAAUUCUUGGAUUCGUUGAAGACUAACUUGUGCGAAAGCAUUCACCAAGGAUGUCUUCUUUAAUCAAGAACGAAAGUUGGGGGAUCGAAGACGAUCAGAUACCGUCGUAGUCUCAACUAUAAACGAUACG
rnacentral:rRNA from 1 species